rnacentral:rRNA from 1 species
GGGGCAGUGUUACCAGGGGAAAGGCAAGCGUGCUGAGUCUUCGGAUGUGGUGGGCGCAUUCACGAAGGUGAGUCGCAUUUUAAAUUUCUGGAGGAUUGACAGAUUGAGAGCUCUUUCUUGAUUUGGCGAAUACCACCAUCCAGGCAUGGCCGUUCUUAAGGCCCCCCAGUGACCAAAAGGGAAUCUGGUUAAUAAUCCCAAACCCGGACAUGGAGAUUGGUCCUUCGGGACCAAGUGCGGUAACGCAAACCAGCUCGAUGACGCCGAUGCGAGCCCCGGGAAGUUUUCUUUUCUCUGCAAGGAGAUCGUCCCUGGAAUGAGUUCGCCCCGAGAUAGGGAUGGUGGCUCCGCAGAGCAGUGCGGCUCUUGUGCUGUCCGGUGCGCUCGCGUCGGCUUUUGAAAAUCCGAGCGAGGGAGUGCGAUUUUCGUGCCGGACCAUACCCACAUCCGCAGCAGGUCUCCAAAGUGAACAGCCUCU